GAGCUGCAUGUCACAUGUGUGAGGAGCCAAGGCAUCUGAUCCAAAACUCAUCAAGUCAACAUAAACAAGCCCUUUGACUUCAGGUGACCUUGGGACGAGCCCUCGAGGAUUUUACCAGUCAGAGCUUUUCCAGCAUCAUUUGGAUAAUCUUCCAGGGGGGGAAAUAACCAAAGAAGAUAUCUGGGCAAUAACUGGGAAGCAAUUACAACUGCAGCACCCCCAGCAGUACUUAACCAGUGUGACUCCAGCUCCUUGGUACCAGGCUGAUGCUGGAUCCUCAGCCACACAAGAGGGAGAAAAGAGACCAAGGACAGCAAGCACAGGGGAAAUGAUGCUUCACUUGCUCACUGGAUCUCCUUAAGGAUACCACACACUUGUCUAAAAAAGAUCAGCAGAGAUCACCUACUUGGAUUUCCAACCUCCCCUCAUCUUUCUUUCUUGUUAAAGGUUAAUGACCAAGUGAAAAGGAAAAUUGACAUACAUUAAAAACCCAAGGUCAAACACAAAGGGCAGUCUCAAGCAAACCACAGGAUCACAGAAUGGUUUGGCCUGGAAGAAAGAGACCUUCAAGACCACCUCGUUCCAAUUUCUCUAU